rnacentral:rRNA from 1 species
AUUGAACGCUGGCGGCAUGCCUAACACAUGCAAGUCGAACGGAGGUAGGGGCAACUCUACUUCAGUGGACGGACGGGUGAGGAAUGCGUCGGAAUCUACCCUAUGGUGGGGGAUAACACAGGGAAACUUGUGCUAAUACCGCAUGAUGUCGAGAGACCAAAGCAGGGGACCGCAAGGCCUUGCGCGAUAGGAUGAGCCGACGCCCGAUUAGCUAGUUGGCAGGGUAAUGGCCUACCAAGGCGACGAUCGGUAGCUGGUCUGAGAGGAUGAUCAGCCACACUGGGACUGAGACACGGCCCAGACUCCUACGGGAGGCAGCAGUGGGGAAUAUUGGACAAUGGGCGAAAGCCUGAUCCAGCAAUGCCGCGUGUGUGAGAAGGCCUGCGGGUGUAAAGCACUUUUGUUCGGAAGAAAUCUUCUGGGUUAAUACCUCGGAGGGAUGACGGUACCUGAAGAAUAA